rnacentral:rRNA from 1 species
AUUGAACGCUGGCGGCAGGCCUAACACAUGCAAGUCGAGCGGAUGAAGGGAGCUUGCUCCUGGAUUCAGCGGCGGACGGGUGAGUAAUGCCUAGGAAUCUGCCUGGUAGUGGGGGAUAACGUCCGGAAACGGGCGCUAAUACCGCAUACGUCCUGAGGGAGAAAGUGGGGGAUCUUCGGACCUCACGCUAUCAGAUGAGCCUAGGUCGGAUUAGCUAGUUGGUGGGGUAAAGGCCUACCAAGGCGACGAUCCGUAACUGGUCUGAGAGGAUGAUCAGCCAAACCGGAACUGAGGCAAGGUCCAGACUCCUAAGGGAGGAAGCAGUGGGGAAUAUUGGACAAUGGGCGAAAGCCUGAUCCAGCCAUGCCGCGUGUGUGAAGAAGGUCUUCGGAUUGUAAAGCACUUUAAGUUGGGAGGAAGGGCAGUAAGUUAAUACCUUGCUGUUUUGACGUUACCAACAGAAUAAGCACCGGCUAACUUCGUG